rnacentral:lncRNA from 1 species
AGCAUCUCCAGGGACACACCAAGCUUUGAGGGUGCACCCCAACCCCUCACAACCUCCUCUGUCCCUACACCCUUGCAGCACUUCUGCACCCAUGCAAAACCCGUGCACACACUCGGUGCACAAACCCAUAGCCAUGCGUACUCCUGCAUCCACACAAACACUUUUGCACCUGGGGGCACAAACCCAUCACUGUGCACACCCCCGUGCACACCCUACACCCAUGCCUGGGCAGCAGUGGGGCAGGCAGGGGGUGCAGGCAGUGGACAUGGCCGUGCCAUGCACUUCCAUCCCGGAAUCUCAGCAACAGUUACCCGGGCAAUGGGCAAAGCCUGCUCUGGCUGUACAAUGCUGCACAUGCAGCCCCUUUGUGUCCCCAGGCGCCUGUGCCAGGCAAGUGGCAUUGAUGGGACCUCCCCAUGGACACCCCAAAAGGGCCAUGAACCUGCAGGCCCCCCGUCCCCUGCCCCUCCAUUGCUCCACUGCUCCAGCUGCAUCCUGCUCCUGUCCCAUCUUCUUCAUGCCUUCCUUGUUUUCAGUCCCUCUCCUUCAGCCCUUCCAUCCCCACUGUAUCCCCAUCUCUGUCCCUGUCCCCACCAUCCCUACAUUCCACGUCCUUUCUGUCUCCCCAUCUCCCUUUUGUCCCAUCCUUUUCUUACAGUCUUCCACUGCUCCCCAUCCCUCCUGUCCCCAUCUCUCCAUCCCAGACCCAGUCCCUGUUCCCAUCCCUCUUCCUGUCCCUCUGUCCCUCUCCCUAUUCUCUGCAUCCUCCCAUGCUCCUCAUCCUUCUGUCCCCAUAUCCAUCUCCAUGCCCUACAUCUCCUCCAUUCUCCCCAUCACUGUCCACAUCCCUCUGUCCUCAUCCCUGCCCCCUGCAUCUCCUCCAUGUUCCCCAUCCCUCUAUCCAUGUCCCGCUGUCCUCAUCCCUAUCCCCUGCAUCCCCCUCACGUUUCCUAUUCCUCUGUCCCCAUCCCUCUGUCCCCAUCCCCAUGUCCCCGUCUCUCUAUCCCCAUCCCUGUCCCCUGCGUCCCCCCAAUGCUCCCCAGCUGCUGACCCCAUUCCUCUGUCCCCAUCCCCAUCUAUCACCUGCACCUCCUCAUGCUCUCAAUCCCACUGUCUCCAUCCUCGAUCCCCGUUCGCGUGUCCCAUGUCCCCGUCCACACCCCCAGCAUCCCCUCAUUGCUCCUCAUCCCUCUGCUCCCAUCCUGUGCCCUGCACUCCCCUGCUCUCCAACCCCAACCCUAUGUCCCCAUCCCUCUAUCCCCAUCCCUUGCACACUCCAUGUUUCCCAUCCCUCUGCUCCAAUCCCCAUCCCUUGCAACCCCCGCAC